rnacentral:rRNA from 11 species
UUCUAGGGUGUAAAUACCUUAAUGGCACCAAAUCCUGUCUGAACUUGGAAACUAAACAAGGUCAGCCCUGGUUGAUACUCGAACUGGAGAAUGCCAACAAAUAGUGGGUGCCGUAGGUU